rnacentral:lncRNA from 1 species
CUGCUCAGUGAGUAAACGGACGGGGGAGGGAGCUAACCUAUGAAUGGACAAGUGACUGAGGAUCGCUUCUAAACCUCUGUCAUCCUUUGGGAAGUUAGGUGCCUUGUCUCCUCAAACACCAAGGUCAUGCGACACCCAACAAGCAGGGCCACAUGCAGUGCAGUCGCAAUCGAACAAGGGAUCCAGGUGACAUCUUCCCAGCUGGCACACCCUCAGGAAGCAGAUCUUCCUAAUGACUGUUGAGAGGUCUCUCUCUUGCUUUUUCUCUCUUAGCUAAUUGAGAUUUGAGAAUGACAGAAAACUAAAGAGAUCCUCCCCCAAAUCGCCAUGCCUCCACCUAAUGGCUCACUGAGGAGGCUUUGAAAUUUAGCAAGUUUAGUCCUUCCUUGCCAUAUCAUGCCCAAGGAUAGCACAGGGGACCUCUGGGGACAGUAGCUUCCUGUCGCUUGGAGGCUUACUUCCUUCUCAGUGGAAAGACAAGGAUCACAGACCAAGAUCAGGAGAGCAGAAAGGACUACCAUGGAUGGAUCCCUCCUUGGCCAAAGCUAAGGAGGUAUGGGAUUGGCUGCCACCCCCAUGUGUCCCCUGCCAUUUGAACUAUCUGCACCUGCUCCACUAUGGAGUUCUGCGCUGGGGCAGAGUCAAGUCAAACUCUUUGGGCUCGAAAUCACGACAGCUUAUCAACUCUCCUCAGAGGACCAGGACACGACGAACUGAAGCACAACAGGUCCACAAGGCAGAGACCCGAGAGACUCCACUGAACCCCUACGACAGCCUUCACCACCCUCUCCAAUCCACACCGAGGUGAAUGCAGCCCCGGGGGAGGCUACCGCAGCUGCGCCUCACCCCUCACCCACAGGAACACUGAGGCAACCACACUGUUGCUUUCACCGCUAAAUUUGGGGGUAGCCACAGAUAACUAACACACCUACCUGGCUCCUUUUCCACAGCAGAAGACUCUUUAGACUUUUCCUCAGUCUAUCACAACAUUGACACUCUCUCGGCUGUUCUAAAACACUACAGCAAAGUCCUACAGUUACUGCAAAGUCCAAGGUCAAGGCACCAGUAGAUUCUGUACCUGGUCUGGACCCACACUCUGCUUCAUAGAAGGAACGUUUUACCUGCGUCUUAACAUGGCAAAAGGCACCCAGCAGCUCCCUGGAGCCUCUUACAGAUGAGCAUCAAUCACUUUGUGAGGCAGCCACCUCAAUGACUCCAUAGCCUCCCUCCCAACACCAUGGCCUCAAGGGGAUUAGGAUUUCAAUGUCUGAGUGUGGAGGGGAGGGAGCAAGACAUUCAAGUCCCAGUAGUAUACACAGUUGUUCAUUAAAUAAAUGGGUGAAUGAAAACAGACGGCUGUUUGCACGUCUAUUAUUGGACAGCUAGUACUCCUUUGGCGCUGUCAGUAACGCCAAGCGUCUUCACAGUCGGCACUCGUGAGGCCCAUUUUACAGAAUGUCAAACCUGAUGCGGCGUAAGAACUCCGCCAUUCAAAGCCAGCGACUAGCACAGGCAGAGCUAGGGUUUGAGCUAUGGCCUUUCGAUCUGCCCUUCCCCUCCCGAC